rnacentral:snRNA from 1 species
GUGUGGAGAUGCUCUGGCUCUGAUGUGUUACCCAUUGACCACCGAUUGGUUUGGUUCGGUGAUGUGGUUGGCUAGGCAGCUGUUGCUUUCCCCCCUCUCCACUCCACAGGAGCCCUUCCUGAAGCUGUGUCCUUGAUCAAAGAAGAGACAGACAACAGCCUUUGUGAAGGGAAAAAUGAACAGCUAUGUUUCCCACUGUAGACAGAGGAGGAACAGCCUUUGUGAAGGGCAAGUGUAACCUCCAAACACACUUCCAAGAUCUAUUUGCAGGAGAACGUGGCUAAGUUCUCAGGAUCUAGGCACCUCUGAAUGAGGUGCUACGCAUGGCAGGGUGCCUUUAAAU